GGGCAGGUUACAGUACAAGUCACCCCUGCUCAUGUGAUACUUUGGUCAAGGUUCCUCGAUGCCAAGAGUGUAUCAGCAGUAAGGCAGGCUGUGAGUCAUUCUCAGACACACCAAGCAACCAGGAAGAAAAUGAGACCAGCUGAACUGCCCAGCAGAACUCAAGACCAGAUGGGGUAUCCCAAACACCAGCUCCCAGACACAACGCCACAGCCACCAGGAAGACUAAAUAUUUUCUGAUUGGAUUAAACUGGUCAGACUGUAAUGCACAAUGGCAGACGGACACAUACAGCCUCCACUCCCACCAUAAUUCAGAAACCAGCGGAGACAUGUCACACUGGAAGAUGGCCC
rnacentral:lncRNA from 1 species